GUGUGUUGACCCAAGGUGAGCUCUAAAACCUGCAGGGACACCGGCCCUCGUGGACUGAGAUUGCCCACCCCUGUUCUAGAGGGAUUCACAGCACACCGGAUGUUUUGUAAUCUUGUUAUUCACGUUACUUUAAAUUGUCUGAAGCCAUGCCAGCGUGAAUAAAUCACCACUACCAGGCAAAUACGGUCUCAUUUAGUUACCCGACAGCCUCAGGAAUGCUGACAGCAGUAUCGUUGCGUGUCGUGGGAUUCAGUUGGUCGCUGAUUAUAAAAACCUGAGACUCUUUCCUGUAGAAGACAGUUUGUUCACUCUUUCACAGAGAAAGUUUCAAGUCCUAAAUAGACAGAUUAUGGGGGCCCUCGACGCCAUCACAAGAUGGUGCCUCUGCAUACCAUCGUGACCAAACAUAUCAGCACUAGUAGGAAGAUAAAUCCUUCGCAGCGCAUUGCUGAGAAAUUCCUCUCAAGUACGGUGACAUCCAGUUACCUCCAUGCUACACACCACCUGUAGAGGUGUGCGGCGCCAUCUGAAAAUAUCCUAUCGGGACACGAAGAGGCACCUCCUGUGUGGGGUCUUUGUCUGCUGCCAGCUUCCUUCUGUUCAUUAAGAAUAGUGGCUUGACAGCAGCGAGGACAAGCGAUAGAUCCUUGACUCUGAGCAACUACCAUUAUUUUACUGACGCAGUCCUGGCACAAGACAUGCCUGCAGCUCAGUGUGUUUUGCAGGCAAAACAUUUUCAUUGCACACAGGACACUCCCAUGUGGCCUUGUGUCAGUUUUCCUGUGUCAGUGCCAUUUUCCUGUUUACAUUUAUGCUGAUUAAAAUAUUUUAAAAUGUAAUUUUUAAAAAAAAAAAAAAGCCAUAGCCCAACCCUAAAUGUAAUUGUAUAAGUCUCACUGACCUGUAUAAUUUUAUUUAUAAAGCGCUUUCAAACAAAGUGCUGUACAACUAUUUGAAACUAAAAAGAUAAAUAAAAUAAAAGCGAUACAUGGCAAUACAAGUAAAAAGCACAAUACAAGUUAAAAACAGUAAAACUUUAAAAACUAAAAGCCAUAGAAUUAAGACAUGUAGGAUGGGGUGAACAAAUGUCUUCAACUUAGUUUUAAAAACCUCCACAGAGCAUGCCUGCCUAAUAUCUUGAGGGAGGUUGUUCCACAGAAACGGGGCACGAAAAGGAAAAAGCACGCUCUCCAGUUUUCUUUUCUGGCUCUAGGAACCUUUAGAAGGCCAGAGUCCUGAGAUCAUAGAGCACAUAAAGGUGUAAAAGGUCGGAGAGGUAUGAAGGUGCCAAUCCGUUUAAAGCCUUGUAGGUGAGCAGCAGGACCUUAAAAUCUGCUCGAACCUGACAAGGUAGCCAAUGAAGAGAUCUCAGUACUGGGGUAAUGUGCUCAAAUUUCCCAGUUCUUGUUAAAAUGCGAGCAGCUGUAUUUUGCACCAUCUGUAGACCUCUAAAACUUUUCUUUGGUAGCCCAGAAAGAAGAGCAUUACAAUAAUCAAUACGUGAAGACACAAAUGCAUGGACAGUAGUGUCCCGUCAAGGAGCUAGCUCAGCUAAAAAGUUAUUUAAAGGAGUGUGGGAAAUCUUUUGUGCGGUUUUUGGUGUUUUUAUAAUAAUGGGUAUAGUGUAAGGAGUGGUGGAUUUGAGAACUCACCUGUUACUGGAAUAAUGGUUUAGCCUGUGACAGCUGAGUGUAUUUAAGGCUGCAAAUUGUCAUUAGACAGUGAUUAUUGUUUUUGUGAGGAGAGCUAUAUUGUGAAUAAAUGCCUCUUGUUCCACUGUACUUGUCUUGGUCUACCUCACUGUAAAUCCAGCCGCAAAAAGUAAUCCUGUUACAGAAGUCCACACUUUCAACACAAGUUGAAAUUAAUUUUAAACUGGUCAUGUUAUUUGGACAUACGAGCAUCCAGGGAGCCCAGAGGGUUAACCCAUGGCCUCUCCCGGAACCUUUAAAUGGUGUCUGGACCCCCGGGAAAACAUCUGCCCAAACACCCAGGAGAGGACACAGGAAAGAAAGACAACCACCACACUACUUUUUGAGGAGCAGCUGUGCAGGACCUGGAACAAAGGCUACCAACUGAUUUUAAAAUGCUCAAUAAAUAUUUAAACUAAUCGUGUGCAAAUGUUCUUCAUGUGCAAAUCUAUGCUAAAUAAAGUUCUGGAUAAGGUGCUUUUAAUAAAGUGAAAGGUGCUCCUAAAGUGCUAGACAAAUUAUAAAUAGUACGAGACAGACUACAGAUGUCCACGAAUAAGCUCCCUCGACUCCGUAACUAAAGAACUGGCAUCAGAUGGAGAUCAACUAAAAGCUAGUAUGAUGCAAUAAGAGAUCUGCUGAAAGAGCUGCAAUGCACUGAAAAAGAAGUCUCGAAGCUGAAG